GGAUGUGGCUCAGUUUGGUAGAGCGCCUGGUUUGGGACCAGGAUGCCGCAGGUUCGAAUCCUGUCAUCC
rnacentral:tRNA from 1 species